UGUAAUCUAUUGCUCAGUUCUGUUUUCUCAUUAUAUACGUUUGUGUGUAUAUUUAAAUCCACAUAAUUCUAAUUCAAUGUUAUUAAAAUAAACCACAUACCCGAAUCCUGCAAUUCUUAAAAACUUUAUGAUUUCAAUUUCAAUUUCCCAAACCCUGAAAAGUAAAAAUAAUAGCUAAAUGUUCAAAAAAAUAAAAAAAAAACCAAAGGCUUUGAAGCAAUGACAUGGCUUAUUAACUUGACAUGCUCCAUCAGAUCAAAUAUUAUUUAUUUAUUAGUCAUCAUGAGAUCACCAUAUAACUUUUAUCCUUUUCUUUCUUUCUCUUAACAUAUUUGGUGUGAGACUGGGAUAUGGCUGUUUCUCUUUCUUAUCAAAGGUGGCUUUAAAAAGGCUUAACUGACUCACCACAUGGUCACAUACACAGUCACCACACGGUCACAUACACAGUCACCAUACGCAAAGCACCAACUAACUGCAUUAUUUACCCCAUUAAUUAAACUAACUGCAAAAGGCUGUAUUUGUCAACUCCAGCCACUGAAAUGACUACAGAUGAAAUCGAAUAAUGAAGACUAAAAACUAACUUAAGAAAAGGAAGAUGAAUAAAUUUUCACUCCAUGGAAUUUCAAGCAAACCAUAUUCUUAAUUUGUUGGAUGACCUAAACUUAAAAAAUUCCAAAAAAUACACACCGCAUAACCUUUACUAGGAUGACUUCAACCUUUCUACAAGCUAAAAAUUACCAGACACAUCAUCUAUGCAACAAUCUUUGUUUAAAAAAUUCUCUAAAGAGUUCAUAACUGUGCCUUUAUUAAUGUUGAUGCGGCACAGGUGACUCAUGCAACUAAAAGUUGAGAUCCAUCAAACACCAUCUAACUUUUCUAUGUGUAAAUACAUUGCAAGAUACAUGGUUUCACGCAUCAUUCUACACAUCUCCUUGGCUUCAUACACCUCUGACAGUGGAAGAGCACAAUCUGAGGGAGAAACAGACAGCUUUAAAUUCAAGCGAUUCAUCAAGCUAGCAUAUAUGAAGAACCUCCUGAUGGAACAUGUUAUUGGAAUUCCAGUGAGCUCAGUAAAUUAUUCAGUUCAGAAGUCACCAAAAGACUUUUAUGCAAUCCUGAUAGCCGAUACCACAUUCCCCCUCCAAAUGGAUCUCUCCAAUUCAAAAAGAAAAAAGCAGACCAUCUUGCCAAUGGCAUUCAAGAUCACAUGAGAUUAGAGUCCAAUAUCUUGGAAACAGUGAAGGGGAAAUUGAGAUUGGGCAUGAAAAUUCUUAAAGUUGGGGGGAUGGAGAAGAUCUUCAAGCAGAAAUUUAACAUUAGAGAAGGAGAGAAGUUGUUAAAGGCUUUGCAAUGCUAUUUGUCAACAACAACCGGUCCUAUAGCAGGCCUCCUUUUUAUCUCAACCGACAAGGUUGCCUUUUUCAAUGAGAGAUCCAUCAAAUUGUCUUCUUCGAAUGCAGGUUUUGAUCCAACUUGUAAUGAUUAAGAGAGCCAAUGAAAGCCGAAACACAAAGAGACCACAACAGAAGUACAUAGAAAUAGAUACUGUGGACAAUUUUGAUUUUUGAUUCAUGGGAUUCAUAAAUUAUUGCGGAACUUUCAAAUAUCUUCAACGGGCACUCGGGCUUUCAAUACUUACAACUCGAUCACAAGUGACUAAACAAAUGUAUUCCACUCCCCCGGCCCUGUUGCUUCGUUAGAUGUGUAUGCAUUAGGAGAACAAAGCUGUAUAAUCACAAUUUCGUACAAAUUUGUUACUUGGGCUUUGCUUCAAUGGAAAUAAUUUCUCAGUAAAA